rnacentral:lncRNA from 13 species
AUGUGGGGGAAAAAUCUAGCUCUGAGUACUUUCCGAAUGCACUGUAUAUAUUGUCAGAGUACCCUCAUUGGUCCAGCCAACACUAACGAUGACAUGGUUCUCAAUGGGUGUGCCUGUUUUGACCCGUCUGGAGUGGGGCGUUCGGCGUUUGCCACUGGGCUCCUAAAUUGCAAAUCGAGUGCGAACUCCACCUACCCGGCCAAUAACCAGGUGUCCCCCGCAAAACAAGCGCAACCCCCCUCCCAAUUAAAAUCUAGCAUUGCUAUGGGGAAAUGUGAUGUCCAAGGAUGCUACUACAAGUGUAGCAUAACUAACUUUAGCUAGCAUGCAAUGCUACUGAUCUGUUGAUGUAUUGGGAAGGUGUUUCCAUGGUAGUGUUUUUGAGAAGUAGCUUUUAUAAUUCUUAUUCAUAAAGGGGUUUUGAUUUCUGAGGUUGUAUGCAUAGGCUUUGGGGAGAAUACUUGUUUAAUCCCUUUGGAAAAAGGCCCAUACUGACUGUCCAUGAGGAAUGACAAUGAAUUAUUGUCUUCGCAGUCUAAUGGAAACCUUAACUUGCAAUCUUUGAGCCUUUUUAACUUAACUACUUGGAAUAAUAAAUUGGCUGAAAAUGUUAUUUGAGCUUUUGCUUAUACCAGAGUUGAUGUGGUGUGAAGGUUUUCAUAUAAACUGCAUCCUAAUUCCCAAUUUAAUCAGAUAAAUGAAUAUUUCUCCCAUAUUUUGAUAAGUUUCCAUGUAACUCAAAGCUGUGAAGAUGCUUGCACAUCACUUAUUCAACAGGGAUCUUUAGGUGGGUCUUAAUCCUGACAGAAUUUGGCAGCCAAUGGCAACAAUGACUCACUAAACCAAACUAAAUCUCGUCACCGUUAUCCCCUAUCACAGUGCAGAUGUUUGUUUUUCAACACAGUGAUGCAAUAAUGACAUCAAUUAAAAGCCAAGUUAAACGCAUUCCGUCCAGCUGUUGCAGUUUGAGCCGCUCAAGACAGGAUUUAAGAAUUACUCUGAGAUUACAUUUUCUCAUUUUGAAGUGAUUGAUCAAUUGGGCCUGUGCAUGACAGUACAUAUGUGGUCAUGUAUUUACAGUACAUCUGGUGGAUGCACUUAAUACUUAAAUACUCUACUUAAUUGUGUUGACAUGUACAUUGGGGGUGUUUGGUUUUUUAUUACAUGAAAUUAGCUUUAAAACUGCAACAUUUUCUAGCAGGAAACUAGCUCAGGGAUUCUUGAUAGUCGGGACAAUCCUUGUCUGGCAGGGAAACUUUAUAUAUAGUUGUGUAAUUUGAGAUUAACAUUUACUUUAAGGGAAAUUUUGUUUUUGGAAUUUUCUAAUAUUUUCAAUAAUAGUAAUUCUAUUUUUGGGUCUACAGUGCAUUCAGAAAGUAUUCAGACCCCUUGACUACGUUACAGCUUUAUUCUAAAAUGUCUGAGUUUUCCCCCCAAAUCAAUCUACACACAAUACCACAUAAUGACAAAGCACAUUUACAAAUGGUUGUAUGAUUCAGACCCUUUACUCUGUACUUUUGUUGAAGCACCUUUUGGCAGCGAUUACACCCUCGAGUCUUCUUGGGUAUGACACUACAAGCUUACCACACCUGUAUUUGGGGAGUUUCUCCCAUUCUCUAAAGAUCCUCUCAAGCUCUGUCAGGUUGGAUGGGGAGCGUUGCUGCACAGCUAUUUUCUGGUCUCUCUAGAGAUGUUUGAUCGGGUUCAAGUCGGGGCUCUGGCUGGGGCACUCAAGGGCAUGCAGAGACUUGUCCUCAAGCCACUCCUGCAUCGUCUUGGCUGUGUGCUUAGGGUCGUUCCUGUUGGAAUGUGAACCUUUGCCCCAGUCUGAGGUCUUGAGCGCUCUAGAGCAGGUUUUCAUCAAGGAUCUCUGUACAUCUUUCUGUUAAUCCUGACUAGUCUGUCUGCUGCUGAAAAAUAUCCCCACAGCAUGAUGCUGCCACAACCACGCUUCACCAUAGGGAUUGUGCCAGGUUUCCUCCAGAUGUGACGCUUGGCAUUCAAGCAAACGAGUCUAAUCUUUGUUUCAACAGACCAGAGAAUCUUGUUUCUCAUGGUCUGAGAGUCUUUAGGUGCCUUUUGGCAAACUCAAAGUGGGCUGUAAUGGGCCUUUUCCUGAGGAAUGGCUUCCGUCUGACCACUCUACCAUAAAGGCCUGAUUUGGUGUAGUGUUGCAGAGAUGGUUGUCCUAAUGGAAGGUUCUCCCCUCUACACAGAGGAACUCUGGAGCUCUGUCAGCGACCAUUGGGUCCUUGGUCACCUCCCUGACCAAGGCCCUUCUCCUGAUUGCUCAGUUUGGACAGGCGGCCAGCUCUAGGAAGAGUCUUGGUGUUUCCAGACUUCUUCCAGUUAAGAAUGAUGUAGGUCACUGUGUUCUUGGAGACAUUCAACGCUGCAGAAAUGUUUUGGUACCCUUCCCCAGAUCUGUGCCUCGACACAAUCCUGUCUCGGAGCUCUAUGGACAUUUCCUUUGACCUCAUGGCUUGGUUUUUGCUCUGAGAUGCACUGUCAACCGUGGGACCUUUUUAUAUAGACGUGUGUGCCUUUCCAAAUCCUGUCCAAUCAAUUAAAUUUACCCAAGGUGGACUCCAAUGAAGUUGUAGAAACAUCAAGGAUUAUCAAUGGAAACAGGAUGCGUCUGAACUCAAUUUCAGAGUCUCAUAGCAAAGGGUCUGACUACUUAUGUAAAUAAUGUAUUACUGUUUUUUAUUUCAUACUUUUGCAAACAUUUCUAAACCCCUGUUUUUGAUUUGUCAUUAUGGUGUAUUGUUUGUAGAUUGAGGAAAAACAAUAUCCGUUCUAGAAUAAGUCUAAAAAAAAUUGGAAAAAGUGAAAGUCUGAAUACUUUCCAAAAGCACUGUAUGCCUGGAAAUGCCCUUGUACUGAGCAAAGGAUCCCAAUUUGAAGCUCUCCAAAAAGUGUUACAUUCAAAAAACAGGUAAUCAUGGAUAUUAAUUGGCCUACAGACAACCCCAUAAUGUCUGUAAUUGUAUUACAAAUACAUCAAAUUAAGAAUUCAACACUUUUUUAUGGCAAGCCUAAAUAAAUUCAGGAGUAAAAAUCUACUCAAAUCUCGUAGGUUGCAUGCACUCACUCUGUGUAGUAAGAGUGACUGACUCAUCUCUGUACACCCCACCNNNNNNNNNNCGUCCUCUCACUGUCAACUGCGUUUAUUUUCAGCAAACUUAAUUUUUGUAUGAACAUAAGAUUCAACAACUGAGACACAAACUGAACAAGUUCUACAGACAUGUGACUAAAAAAAUGGAAUAAUGUGUCCCUGAACAAAAGGGGGGGGGGGGUCCAAAUCAAAAGCAACCGUCAGUGUCUGGUGUGGCCACCAGUUGCAUUAAGUACACUGCAGUGCAUCUCCUCCUCAUGGACUGCACCAGUUCUUGCUGUGAGAUGUCACCCCACUCUUCCACCAAGGCACCU